AACGAACGCUGGCGGCAUGCCUAACACAUGCAAGUCGAACGAGACCUUCGGGUCUAGUGGCGCACGGGUGCGUAACGCGUGGGAACCUGCCCUAAGGUUCGGAAUAACACAGAGAAAUUUGUGCUAAUACCGGAUAAUGUCUUCGGACCAAAGAUUUAUCGCCUUUGGAUGUGCCAGCGUAGGAUUAGCUAGUUGGGGAGGUAAAGGCUCACCAAGGCGACGAUCCUUAGCUGGUCUUAGAGGAUGAUCAGCCACACUGGGACUGAGACACGGCCCAGACUCCUACGGGAGGCAGCAGUGGGGAAUAUUGGACAAUGGGCGCAAGCCUGAUCCAGCAAUGCCGCGUGAGUGAUGAAGGCCUUAGGGUUGUAAAGCUCUUUUACUGGGGAUGAUAAUGACAGUACCCAGAGAAUAAGCCCCGGCUAACUCCGUGCCAGCAGCCGCGGUAA
rnacentral:rRNA from 1 species